UAAAGGGAACCACAGCCAGAAGGGCUAUGUCCAGUAGCAAUCCCUACAUAUACCCACUGAGCUUUUUAAACAGGGAGGCUGGAAGUUCUACAAUCGUGGGAAAGAACAAAAACAAGAAUAGUUUUUCUUCUCCUAAUGUUCAUGGGUGCUUGCAGGAGUUGCUAAGCUUUGACACCGGAAUCAGAAGAGGAAGGAGGUUCAAAGCUGAAGUAGGUGUUAGGAAGAAGGUGGCUUUGAAGAAUAAGUAGAAAUCAGGAUUGGAGGAAACUACAAAGGAGACCAUUCAAGCAAGAGAUUAGCCUACUUCAGGGGUUAGAAAUUAGUAUUCAAGGGGCUAUUAUCCAAAAUACAUAAAGAACUGUAAAACUCAAAAACAAAAAAAAUCCAAACAACUUAAUUGAAAAUGGACAGAAGGUCUGGAUAGACAUUUCUCCAAAGACAUACAGAUGGCCAAGAGACACAUGAAAAGGUCACUGCUGAUCGCUCACAGUCCAGGGAAAGAGGGGUGCAUGAGCCAUAGAACUCCACAAUGAGUAGAGUGCCUGCUCCUGAAAUUUCUCCACCCUGGAUCUUAUUCUUUAAAGUUUUUUCAACGUGUCAGGUAAAAACUGAAAAUUUCGGACCUCCGUCAUGUACAGGACAUCUGAUACGGUUAUUGGCCAGUAUCCCGGAUGGACUAAGAUACUUGCCUUCUAGCAAGAGAAAGGAAGUCAACAACUGAAGGCAAAUGAACACAGAUUUUCAGAGAAGAGAAAGAAGGCCAUCAGCGUAACUUACUGCAUCAGCAAUGUUGGUAGCCACCACGUCCAUCCAGUUCCAAGAUGUGAAACCUCUGCUGUGAACAUGUGCACUGUGUGAUGUCCAGAUGAGGAGGCCACUGCACCCCCUGCUGUUCAUAGGGAGAUCGUGGCUGAAGGUUGACCUUUUGGAGUCCUGGUAUUCCCAGUCCUGACCACUGGGAUUCCUUAGGGGGUGAGUGUGUGCAGAGAAGAGGGAGAGACAGGAAAAAAUUUCUCUUCUGGGGAACACCUAAACACACAAUU